rnacentral:lncRNA from 10 species
UCCAGGGCUUACCUUUUCAUCACUUGAAGACCAGUGGUUACGUGAUUUGGACCCACUGAGGAACGUAGAAUGAUAUCAGUUCAAAAGUAUUGGAUACCUGUGGAGCACUUUGCAAGAUAUUGCAGGAUUUUUGGGGCUUUCUAUAGAACUACACAGAAGUAUUGCUGAGUACUUUGCAAUAUGAAUUCCUGCAAUUUGCAGGAAUUUGCCACGCUUUUCAGGUGAUCAUGCUUGCACUUCCAGGAACUGUGGGGUUGACAGAAGGGAUAUGCAACAGGUUCUGCAUCCUUGAGGAUCUCACUGCAAGAACAGCACAGAAAGAGCAUGACCCAACUCAAGAGGAGUCUAGACAUCGAGUUGCACAAGACUGAGUGUGCACAAUGGGAUUGGAGAGAAGUAACGGCAUGGGCUGCCAUGAUCAGGGAAAGCUGCACAGAAGUGUUGGGUUUGAAAGAGAUGAAGAUGCAGAGGAAACCACAGUGGACAUCCAACAGAAGUCAGACUGCCCCUUGCAGGGACCUUAGGGGCAGCUGAAUAGAUGAGGCCACCAAAGAAAACCCUGGGCUGCCAAUCCAUCUGUACAAGAAGUAGCAAUUGUGGGAUUCGGUGCUCUGAAGACAGAAAGCAGAAAAAUCCACCCUUUCCCCCCGCAACUUCACUUAAGGAGAUGAAAGCAAAUGAAAUUAAAAAGCCAAUAGUAAAUACUAAAUCCAAGAAGUUCACAAGACAGAAGGAAACAAAAAAAGUCAAAUGAAAUUUCAAUUUUUUUCAUGGCUUUGGGAAUAUAGGUAGAAGAAUUUUUACUAAAAACCCCCUUCUAAUUACUUCAUGGGCUAAAUGGAAUUGAAACAACUAAGAAUGGUACAGGAUCUAUUUGCCAGAACAAUUUUUUUGAAGACCCAGGCUCUCAUCAUUUCAAGACAAGGGGUCCCUGGAUCAAAAUAGAACCAAAAGUUUCAUUUGGCAUCAAUCAACCUUAUCAGCAGAGUCCAGGGAUUAUCAGCAGAGACCGGGGCUUUUAUCAAGACACAGAGCACAAGUAAAUCCUAUAAUCUAAAUUUGCAACAUUUAUGACCUGGAAAGCAGCCCCAGGUAGGCAAAAACAACUGACCUUUUUCUACUCCUCCAAAACACCUGCUUGGUACUGCCUCGUCUCCCACAACACUUCUCGACAGUGGUGAUCUUGAAAUGUUUAUGCUUAAGUCGUGUCUUCCAAAUUAGCCUCUAAGUUACUUUAGGGCAAGAGCCAUGUCUUCGUGUGUCCUGCCCAGUGUUAGGACUGGAUCCUCAGGAAAUACCUAUUGAAUAAACUUAGAUCUUUUCACAUCCUUUCAAUUCUGUCAACCCACAUAAGGCUGGCUAACAGCAAAGCUGUGGGGGAACUUAGCCUACAUUCUUCAAUCCAGAAUCCCUGAACACAGCUAGCAUGGUUCAAGAUUAAUAAGUACACUGGACAGUUCUUUGGAGCCCCGUGAUAUUAUUGGAAUGCUUUUACUUUGAGAUCUUGACCUCCUAAUGUUAACAGAGCUUAGGUGGUAACCUAAAAUCACUGGAAAGAUAUCACUCUGGAAAAAUGAGUAAAUGACAACAAAUCAACCUUGCAACAUCUCUGGAUAAUUGCUAUCUACUCUGUCUAAUUAUUCCUACAAAAGGUAACUUGUCUUUCUUACAUUUCUGAAAUGUGGCCUGAGGUACCUCAGGUAGUAGUUACCCACUGGCUGGUCAACUGUGCAGAUAUGGAAAACAUAUUUGGCUAUAUUUCAGUGAGGCAAUAAAAGACACUACUUAAUUUCAAACUUUUUAUUAAUUAUGUCUUAUCAGUCCCUUUCUCCAGAAGAUACCGAUAUGAUUCUUCAGUUCAGUUCAGACAUCCUAACUUUCCAUUUUACAUUAAAUGGGACAUUUUAAUAUAUAAGCUUUUGGAAAUAAUUAGAAUUCACAUGUAGAUUUUUUUGUAAUCAGAAUUUUUAAAAUUACAGUAUAUAAUUACAAUGUACUAUAAGAAAUUGUCAAGUGGAUAACCUUGUUGCACUGAAAUGUUUUUGCUGUAAACAAGUCUCUCCUUUAGUGGAAUAUUUGUCAGUGCAUGUAUUCAAAGAAGCGCUCUCAAGGCAUGUGCUCAGAAGUUAGGAAAUAAUUAUAUUUCCAAACAUAAUCUUUUCUAAUCAUCCCAUUUUGUUUUGUUUAAAAAUAACCUGUGGGUUUCUAAGACAGGCACAAUUAUCUUUCAUCUCAGCUCCAAGAUACCAUCCUUCCAGAAAAUGAUUUGGGGUGGGGGGAAACAAACUCAGAGGUCACUUUUCUUUUUCUUUCCUUGAAAAUCCUCACUCUAAUUGCAAAUAAAUAUACUAGCAAGGAACUGCCUAAGUUUAGCUGCUAGGUUUUUAAAGCAAGAUAAGUGGGAAAGCACUGAAUUUGUAGUAAUAUUUAACAACUCAUCCACGCAGUAUUAAUACAUAGUGAUUUUCAGCGGUACAUAGACAAGGCUAAUUUCAAUUCAACAAACUUUUAUUGAGCGCCUAAAAUACGCCGAGGACUCUGCUAAGUGUUGGGGGCACCAGGGUGAAGAUGAUAAAGUUCUCGACUUACAAAGCUUAGUUUCUGGAGAAGACAAACAGUAAAUAAGCACUUUUAAUAAGUUACGCUCAAAUUGGCAUGAGAACAUGGAAGAGGUGGGGUGGUGAAUUCUUA